GCCACGGUGGUCUACCGGUUAGAACGCUGGUCUUGUAAUCCUGGGGUCUCGGGUUCGAUUCCCGGCGGUGCCC
rnacentral:tRNA from 1 species